rnacentral:misc_RNA from 1 species
AACGUUUGAUGAGAGAUAUCAAUAGGAGCAAGCUGAAAAUAGCACUACGUCAGGACAAUUUUCCUUCAAAGCCAAUCCCUGAGUUGCCUUAUAAUUCGCUAAUCGAAGUGACAGAGCUAAGAAUCCUUUCUUGCUUCUGCAUCCUGAUGUCUCCAUGGAUUAAGAGCGUCUCUUACAGCCUUGGCUUCAGGAGAAUUCUCCCAUGCUCUCUUUUCCGCUUCUAGAACAGUCACCUUAUCAUAAAAUCCAGUCUUAAUCAUGAAAAACUCCAUGGAACCUCCAAUCAUGGCCGAAACAACAGCAAUUUUCAGAUACCAAUCCCAGAAUUUCAUUUUACCCUUGUAAAACUGCUUCAAU